rnacentral:lncRNA from 1 species
AAUAAAAUCAACGGUACCAAUUUUGUUGCACCAGAUGCGCAUUUCGACAAAAUAUGUCUCUUCAGUGAUGCUCGUGGCCAAAAUAUUUGAAAUCCAAAGCUUAUAUAAAAGAUGAAGAGCUAUAAUCCAAAAGGUCCAAAAAGUAUAGUCAAAUUCGUGAAAGGAAUCAGAGCUUUGCAUGAGGGAGAUACAUUCCUUAAUUUAUAAUAAUUUCUAAUAUUUUGUAACAGCAAAAUUUAAAUAACCCAAAAAAAUCCGUAUUUUCAUGCCAGUACCGAAGUACUGGCUACUGGGCUGGUGAUACCCUCGGGGACUAAUAGUCCACCAGCAGAGGCAUCGACCCAGUGGUAGUAAUAAAAUCAACGGUACCAAUUUUGUUGCACCAGAUGCGCAUUUCGACAAAAUAUGUCUCUUCAGUGAUGCUCGUGGCCAAAAUAUUUGAAAUCCAAAGCUUAUAUAAAAGAUGAAGAGCUAUAAUCCAAAAGGUCCAAAAAGUAUAGUCAAAUUCGUGAAAGGAAUCAGAGCUUUGCAUGAGGGAGAUACAUUCCUUAAUUUAUAAUAAUUUCUAAUAUUUUGUAACAGCAAAUUUAAAU